AUGUGUAUGGUUAAUAGUCAUGUAGUCAUGUGUAUGGUUAAUAGUCAUGUAGUCAUGUGUAUAGUUAAUAAUCAUGUAGUCAUGUGUAUGGUUAAUAGUCAUGUAGUCAUGUGUAUGAUUAAUAAUAAUGUAGUCAUGUGUAUGGUUUAUAAUCAUUUAGUCAUGUGUAUGGUUAAUAAUCAUGUAGUCAUGUGUAUGGUUAAUAGUCAUGUAGUCAUGUGUAUGAUUAAUAAUAAUGUAGUCAUGUGUAUGGUUUAUAAUCAUUUAGUCAUGUGUAUGGUUAAUAAUCAUGUAGUCAUGUGUAUGGUUAAUAAUCAUGUAGUCAUGUGUAUGGUUAAUAGUCGUGUGUGUAUGGUUAAUAGUCGUGUGUGUAUGGUUAAUAGUCGUGUAGUCAUGUGUAUGGUUAAUAGUCAUGUAGUCAUGUGUAUGGUUAAUAAUCAUGUAGUCAUGUGUAUGGUUAAUAGUCGUGUGUGUAUGGUUAAUAGUCGUGUGUGUAUGGUUAAUAGUCUUGUGUGUAUGGUUAAUAGUCAUGUGUGUAUGGUUAAUAGUCAUGUAGUCAUGUGUAUGGUUAAUAGUCAUGUAGUCAUGUCUAUGGUUAAUAAUCAUGUAGUCAUGUGUAUGGUUAAUAGUCGUGUGUGUAUGGUUAAUAGUCGUGUGUGUAUGGUUAAUAGUCAUGUAGUCAUGUGUAUGGUUAAUAGUCGUGUAGUCAUGUGUAUGGUUAAUAGUCAUGAUGGUAUGGUUAAUAGUCGUGUGUGUAUGGUUAAUAGUCUUGUGUGUAUGGUUAAUAGUCAUGUGUGUAUGGUUAAUAGUUGUGUGUGUAUGGUUAAUAGUUGUGUGUGUAUGGUUAAUAGUCGUGUGUGUGUGGUUAAUAGUCGUGUGUGUAUGGUUAAUAGUCAUGUGUGUAUGGUUAGUAGUUGUGUGAGUAUGGUUAGUAGUAGUGUGUGUAUGGUUAAUAGUCAUGUGUGUAUGGUUAAUAGUCAUGUAGUCAUGUCUAUGGUUAAUAGUCAUGUAGUCAUGUGUAUGGUUAGUAGUCGUGUGUGUGUAUGGUUAAUAGUCGUGUGUGUAUGGUUAAUAGUCGUGUGUGUAUGGUUAAUAGUCCUGUGUGUAUGGUUAGUAGUCGUGUGUGUAUGGUUAAUAAUCAUGUAG
rnacentral:lncRNA from 1 species